GAUGAACGCUGGCGGCGUGCUUAACACAUGCAAGUCGAACGGAAAGGCUCCUGCUUGCAGGGGUACUCGAGUGGCGAACGGGUGAGUAACACGUGGGUGAUCUGCCCUGCACUUCGGGAUAAGCCUGGGAAACUGGGUCUAAUACCGGAUAGGACCACAUUUUGGAUGGUGUGGUGGAAAGUUUUUCGGUGUGGGAUGAGCUCGCGGCCUAUCAGCUUGUUGGUGGGGUAAUGGCCUACCAAGGCGUCGACGGGUAGCCGGCCUGAGAGGGUGUACGGCCACAUUGGGACUGAGAUACGGCCCAGACUCCUACGGGAGGCAGCAGUGGGGAAUAUUGCACAAUGGGCGCAAGCCUGAUGCAGCGACGCCGCGUGGGGGAUGACGGCCUUCGGGUUGUAAACUCCUUUCGCUAGGGACGAAGCGCAAGUGACGGUACCUGGAGAAGAAGCACCGGCUAACUACGUGC
rnacentral:rRNA from 1 species